AUUGAACGCUGGCGGCAUGCCUUACACAUGCAAGUCGAACGGCAGCACGGGUGCUUGCACCUGGUGGCGAGUGGCGAACGGGUGAGUAAUACAUCGGAACAUACCUUAUCGUGGGGGAUAACGCAGCGAAAGCUGUGCUAAUACCGCAUACGCCCUGAGGGGGAAAGCGGGGGAUCGAAAGACCUCGCGCGAUUAGAGCGGCCGAUGCCUGAUUAGCUUGUUGGUGGGGUAAAAGCCCACCAAGGCGACGAUCAGUAGCUGGUCUGAGAGGACGAGCAGCCACCGUGGGACUGCGACACGGCCCGGACUCCUACGGGAGGCAGCAGUGGGGAAUUUUGGACAAUGGGGGCAACCCUGACCCAGCAAUGCCGCGUGAGUGAAGAAGGCCUUCGGGUUGUAAAGCUCUUUUGUCAGGGAAGAAACACCGGCUCUAACACAGUCCGGGAAUGACGGUACCUGAAGAAUAAGCACCGGCUGACUACGUGCCAGCCGCCGCAGUAA
rnacentral:rRNA from 1 species